rfam:TPA: Bos taurus chromosome 19, whole genome shotgun sequence.
UCCCUGGUGGCCCAGUGGCUAAGACUGCGCUCCCAAAGCAGGGGGCCCAGGUUCGAUACCUGGUCAGGGAA